CACUGUGACAGCCCCUCUCUCAUGGGUCCCAUCAUCCCUCCCUGCAUCUCAUUUCUGUUGGGAAUUCCCAAAGCAGAAGGAGUUUCUUUGCUGCUUCCCUUUUCAGAAACUUGGAGACCAUAUAUCUUUGCAAAGUGGAUUUUUAAAAAUAAAGAAGAAAAGAUUAAAUCAGAGAAGCUCCCAAGUUUUCUGCCUUCUGCCUGGACCAGCUUCCUGUGCUUCUUCCUUUCCAAAAUUGAUGUGGUAAAUGUUAUUGCAGUAGCACUGGCUCAGAAAAGCCCAGGCCUUCCAAGAAUGUAACCUUCAUGGAGAAAUUCUGCGACUCUUUCUCCUCUUGGGAGGCUAGAGAGGUAAGACGUAGAAGGAGAGAGAGAAAAAGAGACACGGAGAAAUUUGCCUUGUUAGUGGCUUUCAGGAGAACAAGGCCAGAAGACACAGAGUCCCGGACCUUAUCCACGGUUCCCACACUGGCAUGAUGAAAGCCUGGAGCUGUCUACGAGCAUACAGACCUUGGGGAAAGAGGAGGAAGUCAUAGUGUAGCGCAAAGCUGAACCUCAAGAGGGCAGGAAUGCUGAUGACAUCAUUUGAGUCUCUGGGUCCACUCCGCCCUGUUCUUCCCAGUUAUGUGAAUCAACCAAGUCCCUUUAUUCCUUCACCUAAUGUGAACUGACAAAUCUCAUUCAAUUUAUGGCAAGGGAGUGAGAUUUAAUAAUCUGGUUCUUAGAUUCUGGAAAUGAUUCUUAUUUAGUGCCAAUACUCCUGUAUAGGUGAAUACAUAUCUAUUUUUGAGAAAUCAAUACACAUUUGUAUGCCAAGGCCAAAUUUUGAACUUUUCUUUUAACAUCAGAUAUGGAUUUUAGCCACACUAAGCAAUGAAACUAAGAUGUAAUCACUUGUAUUUACUUUCAUUUGUACCCUAAGUCAUUAGAUGGAUGGCAUGUGAAUAGAGCAAUCUUUCUGGGCCUGCUUUUUCAUCACCCUUAGAUAUGACCACUGAACUCCCUGUGGUUUGUGCUUGUUGCUCUCACAUUUCUACCAGAUUGGGGGACGUCUGCCCAUCACAGUUCACUGGGCACAAUAGAAGUGAGGUGGGGAAAAUCUCCCUGUACAUGCCAAUGCAGUUAGCUUCCUGACAGUGCCUUCGCCCAUCCAUUCAAUUAAAUCAUCCAUUUAUUCAUCAGUUGUUUUUUGAGUUCAGACCCAGAGACAGUACUUGGUGUUGGGGACACAAGUGAGACACAUGCCUGUCCUAACUAAGCUCAUGGCCCAAUGCAGAAAGCAGACCAGGCAAGUACACUAGAGUGGAGUGUUGCUGGGAUAGAGGAAGUGCUGGGUGCUAAGGAAAACAUAGAGGAGGCACCUAGUUCAGCUUUGCCAAGGAAGUGGGACACAUGAAUGGUGAGUGGGAGCUGGCUAGACAGAGAUGGCAGAGUGAGGAGGCCAUGGAGCCAGUGGAGGAGGAACAGAUCACAGCUAGCAGAUAAGAGCUCUUGGUAGAGCAAACAUCAGGUGUAAAGACUGGGAGCUGAGACCUUUUUUUUUUUUUUUGAGAUGGAGUCUCGCUCUGUCACCCAGGCUGGAGUACUGUCGCCUGAUCUUGGCUCACUGCAACCACUGCCUCCCGGGUCCAGGCGAUUCUCCUGCCUCAGCCUCCCACGUAACUGGGAUUACAGGUGCAUGCUACCACACCUGGCCAUUUUUUUGUAUUUUUAGUAGAGAUGGGGUUUCACUGUGUUAGCUAGGAUGGUCUUGAUCUGACCCCGUGAUCCGCCCGCCUCGGCCUCUCAGAGCUGAGAGGAACAAAGAGAAUCUCAGUCCAGCUCAAGUUUUCAGCAUGAAGGGACAGAGAAAAGGCUAUCGUGGCUCAUUUUUCCCUGUUGAAAUGAGCAGCCAUGGCAGCUCUUCCCUGGCACCAAGCUUGGGAAGUCGGCACCUUCUCCAGUCUUCAUGUCAGCUGUGGAGAUGCAGGGAGUCCUGCUUGCUAGCAGAAUAAGAAAAUGGAUUCCUUCAAUUCAAUGCUAUCCAGUCUGUAGCAUUAAUCCUCUCUUCCCCUCUCUUCCUGUGGAAAAGCUUACUGGCUCACCUAUUUGGAAGGAGUCCUAAGGACAGGGAGGGUAAAGGAAUGUUAGCAGGAAAGCUGCAGGAAGUUAGAGAAAGUCUAGGGCCAGUUUCUGGCAGAAAAAAAAAAUUUCCCCCUUCCCCCUUGGGCAGUAAAGAAGAAAAUUAAAUGAGAGUGUCAAAACGGUUUGCUGAUGUGCAAACCGCUUACUAGACCUUGGUCAAGGUCUAAUAUCUUUUUAAGAAUGAUGGCUUUGGAAUUAGACCUUUUGGGGUUCAGAUCUCAGCUCUUCCUUUUGAUUGGCUGUGGAGCUGUGGGUAAUUUGCUUAAUCUCUUUGAGCUUUCAGUUCACUAUGAAACACGACCAUGUGGAGAUUAAAGAAUCAAAUGUACUACCCAAUACACAGUAGGUAUUCAAUAAAUGACAGAUAUUAUUACUUUUAGGUGAUAUAGAUAUCAUAUUUUUGUGAGGAUUAAAUAUUUUAAUCCGUGUAAAGUGAUUGGCCCAUGAGAAGCACAUGUGUUAACUGUUACUACCACUGUUAGCUAUUAUCAGAGAUAGCUGUGUAUGGAGAAUUCCUGAAACCUCCAAUCCUCUGAAACUAGAGUCAGGAAACAGACUUUGACACAUAGACCAAAAACAGAGGUGACAGGUUCAUCUUAUGUACCAACUGGCCAGUUGGCAAUGAGUGCCUAGAAUGUGCCUGAGGCACAAUUCUAAGAGCUAUCUGGCUCAGUAGGGAAGAGUAUGCUAUGAUCUAUUAGUGAGAUGUCUGUUCUGGGUGGCAGAGAGAGUCAUGUCAGCAUGUGUGCUAUAGAUUUGCCUUCUUUAGACUGAAGCUUCAUUCUAGACAGUUUGGGAGCCAGUAACAAAGGGCUGGGGCUGGCCUUGUCCACUUGUGCUAGUCUCCACUUGCUCCAUGUUUUACUCCUAGCACAAAGUUGAGACAUGGCCAGAGCCCAAACCCAGCUGCCUUUUCCUCAAGAAACUUUUGCUGGCAUUAAUCAAGACCUGUAAAUCCACCAUGUGGAUGACACAGGCUGUGUGCCCAGCCCAGACUCUGCGAGCGACAGAAGAGGAGGGAGUUGCUUAGUGACAUGACACAAAGGGCGUCUUUGAUUCAUCACCCGGCCCCAGCCCCAAGCCCCUGGCCAGCAGCGAGGAACGGCUGCAAAUGAGCAAUAGGACUCCUUUACAAAUGUCACUUUGCUGUAAAAUGUAAAUGUUUAACAUUUAGACACGAACGCUGACUCCCAAAAUGCCUAGUGCUGGGUGGCUUUUAUUCAUUCUCUUAGGGAUUCUUUGUCCUCCCAUGGUGAGAGAUUUCACUGCAUGAUUUACACCCCUGUGCUUGUUAAAUUGCUGGCAUGUCUUGCCCCAGAUAGGGCAGCAAAAGAGCAGAGAUUUGCAGGGGACUUUAUACCUUUCCUGUUAAUGCAGAGUAUUAAAUAUACAGUGCAAUUCCAUCGGCAGCCACUGCUCAGAGGUGCUAUGAACUCUGAACAGAGGAGAUUUCAUUUUAUUUCCAAUUAUCCUGGACUUCAAAAUAUAGGAUUGUGUCAUUGAAGGUCGAGAAAGACCAAAAACAGCAAUAAAAUAUAUUCCCUGGGAGUUCUGUCUUCUAGACCUGCUCAUCAGCUAAUUCUGUCUUAGUGGUCUGGGACUAAGGGGCAGGUACAUUGAGGAUAUGGGUGAUUGUUCUUGGGGCUAAAUUCCUUUUCCCCCCAAGACAAUUCUAAUGAGGGUAAGCCCUGUAGCCACUCUCAGCCUCCUGAUGAUUGGCCUUUGGAUAAAGAUGGACCUAGCAUAAAAAGUAAGUCAAAGUUCAGACAUCUGGCAAGACUCAGAGCCAGGCAAGGAAAGCAAUAGGGUCACAGGAAUCACUGGGCGUAGGGGCAGGAAGAUCUAGAUGGCAGUUUCACCCAACUUUCGUUUCCUCUAGAACAUAUUGUUUGUUGAAUUUUUCUCUGCACCCACCCCACACUUGCUGCCUCCCACAGUUUUGAUCACAGUAGGCACUUAAUGCCUAUUUGUUUAAUUAAUUAAAUAAGUAGUGAGUCACUGGCAAACCUAGCGCUGGCUGAAGAGAUUAUGUCUAAAGUUCCAAUGGCUGAAUUUUACAACUUCGGACAAGUCUCUUAACCUCUCCGUAUGAGAUUUUAUGUUAUUCCUGUCACAUUCUUUGGAAGUAACUGAGAUAGAAAGAGAUUAUUAUUAAUUUACCAAUAAGAAACAGAGGCUCAGACAGGCUACAGGUUUUUCUUGAUAUCAUGUUGAGUU
ensembl:lncRNA novel transcript